rnacentral:tRNA from 1 species
GUGGGUAUAGUUUAAUAAAAACAUUAGAUUGUGAUUCUAAAAAAAGAAGUUAAAAUCUUCUUAUCCACA